UACGAAGGGGGCUAGCGUUGUUCGGAAUUACUGGGCGUAAAGGGCGCGUAGGCGGCUUGGUAAGUCGGGCGUGAAAUGCCUGGGCUCAACCCGGGAACUGCGUUCGAUACUGCCGAGCUCGAGUGUGGGAGAGGAUAGCGGAAUUCCCAGUGUAGAGGUGAAAUUCGUAGAUAUUGGGAAGAACACCAGUGGCGAAGGCGGCUAUCUGGACCACAACUGACGCUUAGGCGCGAAAGCGUGGGGAGCAAACAGG
rnacentral:rRNA from 1 species